CCCGGGAACGUAUUCACCGCGACAUGCUGAUCCGCGAUUACUAGCGAUUCCGACUUCACGGAGUCGAGUUGCAGACUCCGAAUCCGGACUACGACGCACUUUCUGGGAUUGGCUCCCCCUCGCAGGUUGGCAACCCUCUGUAUGCGCCAUUGUAUGACGUGUGAGGCCCUACCCAUAAGGGCCAAUGAGGACUUGACGUCAUCCCCACCUUCCUCCGGUUUGUCACCGGCAGUCUCAUUAGAGUGCCCAACUGAAUGUAGCAACUAAUGACAAGGGUUGCGCUCGUUGCGGGACAUUAACCCAACAUCUCACGACACGAGCUGACGACAGCCAUGCAGCACCUGUGUCCAGGUUCCCUUUCGGGCACAUCGACCUCUCGGCCAACUUCCUGGCAUGUCAAGGGUAG
rnacentral:rRNA from 1 species